rnacentral:rRNA from 1 species
ACGCUGGCGGCGUGCCUAAUACAUGCAAGUCGAACGGUCUUUCUAUGGAAGCUUGCUUCCACUGAGAAGAUAGUGGCGAACGGGUGAGUAACACGUGGGUAACCUGCCCAUAAGAGGGGAUAACAUCCGGAAACGGGUGCUAAUACCGCAUAGUUUUCUUGAUCGCAUGAUUGAGAAAGGAAAGACGGCCUUUGUGCUGUCGCUUAUGGAUGGACCCGCGGCGUAUUAGUUAGUUGGUGAGGUAACGGCUCACCAAGACGAUGAUACGUAGCCGACCUGAGAGGGUGAUCGGCCACAUUGGGACUGAGACACGGCCCAAACUCCUACGGGAGGCAGCAGUAGGGAAUCUUCCGCAAUGGACGAAAGUCUGACGGAGCAACGCCGCGUGAGUGAAGAAGGUUUUUCCGGAUCGUAAAACUCUGUUGUCAGAGAAGAACAAGUUGGAGAGUAACUGCUCCAGCCUUGACGGUAUCUGACCAGAAAGCCACGGCUAACUACGUGCCAGCAGCAGC